rnacentral:rRNA from 1 species
GAUGAACGCUGGCGGCGUGCUUAACACAUGCAAGUCGAACGGAAAGGCUCCUGCUUGCCGGGGUCCUCGAGUGGCGAACGGGUGAGUAACACGUGGGUGAUCUGCCCUGCACUUCGGGAUAAGCCUGGGAAACUGGGUCUAAUACCGGAUAGGACCACAUUUUGGAUGGUGUGGUGGAGAGUUUUUCGGUGUGGGAUGAGCUCGCGGCCUAUCAGCUUGUUGGUGGGGUAAUGGACUACCAAGGCGUCGACGGGUAGCCGGCCUGAGAGGGGGUACGGCCACAAUGGGACUGAGAUACGGCGCAGACUCCUACGGGAGGCAGCAGUGGGGAAUAUUGCACAAUGGGCGCAAGCCUGAUGCAGCGACGCCGCGUGGGGGAUGACGGCCUUCGGGUUGUAAACUCCUUUCGCUAGGGACGAAGCGCAAGUGACGGUACCUGAAGAAGAAGCACCGGCUAACUACGUG